UACGUAGGGUGCAAGCGUUAAUCGGAAUUACUGGGCGUAGAGCGUGCGCAGGCGGCUUUGCAAGACAGAUGUGAAAUCCCCGGGCUUAACCUGGGAACUGCAUUCGAGACUGCAUUGCUAGAGUAUGGGAGAGGGAAGUGGAAUUUCCGGUGUAGCGGUGAAAUGCGUAGAUAUCAGGAGGAACACCGGUGGCGAAGGCGGGUCUCUGGGCAGUAACUGACGCUGAGGAGCGAAAGCGUGGGGAGCGAACAGG
rnacentral:rRNA from 1 species